rnacentral:lncRNA from 1 species
UUUCACAGUUAGUUAGUCUUUAACACUUAGUAAGAAACUUUUUUCUUGAAAAGGAAGUUCAUACCUUAAAAGACCACAAGCACUAUCCCCUACUCCCACAACAGUGCUAGGCAAAUUGGGAGACUGUGAUUGAUUCCUGAGAGAUGACGAGGAGUGCUAAUGGGUAGAGAAAACUGUGUAUAAGCAGAAGCUUCUGGAACCAUGGAAGUUUUUUGUGUUUUUUUUUUUUUUUGGUGGGGGGUUUGAUCUUGUGGCAGCUCAGCUUGAUUAGGCAUUCAAUCCUGCCUUGGUUUCAGGUUUGGUGGAUUGAGGAGUUUGGCUUGAUUUUCAUGGGUUGAAGAGACUUUUGCAGACUUCCACCUGGCAUUUGGAAGCUGGAGGGUGAGACUCUCCUGCUCUUCUGGCCAGAGAUUGGAACUUUGUUGGGGAGUGAGCUAGAUUUCUUCAGAGUAGACUUAGAGUUGUAGGCUAGAAAAUUCCUUAUUUCCUUCCUACAUUUCCCUUUCUUACUAUCACUAUUUUUUCUGUACUAAAGCUAUUAAAACUACCAAUAGUCUCCUGACUUAAUAUUUGAUAUUAUAAACAGUGAACACAAUUUAUAUUUGUCAAAUACCCUUUAAUUAUUAUUCAAGCUUCAGGUUCUUUGUGUAGCUGCCUAAGGAUAAGUGUCUUUAACACUUUCCCAGCCUGUGCUUUUGUCUCUGGGUAACUCCAAGCACUCUUUUCUUCUUUGGAACUAUGACCACAGUCUCCUACUCCCCUGUAUUAGCAAGGGAUGGUAUGUACUAGUGUUUCUCUUCACCCCAAGACCAAUGCCCAGGACUUUUUCCCUGAUCUACUAACUAUAAAAAGGCAUAUUAGUUAGCAGAUAUUGAUAUUGUUGGCUGCUGUUUUAGUAUAAAUAAUGUCUGAGAUGUCUUCUAUUUCAGAUGCUUUGCAUGUUGAUCCUUGAGCAUCUUCACAAUUGUGUCUCCUUUAGUAUAGAUGUCUUCCAUAUAUUUUAGGUCCAAUAUAGUGAUUUUUCUAAUCUUUGUUCUUUUUUUUUUAACUGUGUCACCUCCCCAGGACUGCCUUACCAAUUUGCAUUGGAUUAGAAUAUUGAGAUCCCAGAGGAUGUCUAACUACUCCUCUUUGGAUUCUAUAGGGUUUACUUCUGAGCAAGCUGUAGUCAAUGGACAAGUCUCUUCCUUUUUGAUCUUGACUGCCUCCUUACUGGGUCAAGAUUAUGAUGAAUCCAAUCCGUGAAGCGGGAGAAGCAGGAGUUAAUGAACAUUCGAGGGGCUGAAGAGUCUGCAUUUGGGACGCAAGUUCUGUCACUUUCAGUUAUCAUGAUGCUAAGAAAUGAAAUGUAGGUGAGCAGCUUGGUGGCAAUUCACUGAAAUGGUUUUCUGUGGGAAAAUGUGACCUAAAAGUGAACUAGCAGAGCCAUUUUUUUUUUGUGGGAAUGGGGGAGGUUUGCCCAGUAGAACCUAUACAUAUUUUAUGACAUAUUAGAAGAUGGUGAACUAAGCAGGAAUUGUGACAGAAUGAACUUUCUUUACUAUGUUUUGUAGAGCAUGAAGGUCACAGCUGUGUAUGACUGCUUGAAUCGACAGACUGUUUUCCCCUGUGUGCAGCCCAAUGCAUUGGUUUUAACCUGUAAAAUCCUAUUAGGUCUGACUCUUUGUUGUCUCUGAGAUUUUCCUUUUUCCCUAUCUUUGAAAAACGUUAAGAUCUGCCACAGGCUUUUUUUAUGCUUCAAAUAUUUAUUUGCUUUCCAAAGUGUUGGAGUUAGGAUAUUUUUCACCGUUUGCUUUAGUUUUAGAAUUCUCUCAUUCUAAUAUGAGGUUGAGUCAGUAGGACUUCAAAGUAGGAUUUCUUUUUUCUGAUGGUUGG